AAGUUUUCAAAUGCAGCUGCUGAUUUAGAAAGAUUAAAGAAAACUACAGCGGAGUUGAAGGAAACAAAGCGAGACCUGGAGACGAUAACGGUGGCCUACAAUGAGACCUGUCAACAGUUGGCCAUCACCUCCAGGGAACUGGCCGAUACGAAAGUUAAGCUAUUGUCUUUUGAGGAACAGUUUGAAGAGAAAGUCCAGCAAGUGGAUUUUAAAUAUCAGCAGAAAAUUAAUGAUCUUAUUACACAGAAUAUAGAGCUACGACGGCUGUAUGUAAAGAAGUGUGGACAACUCUACGAGGAAAAGGUCAACGUAGAAAUGGAUAGAGUUAAAAGAGUCCAGUCUGCGAAAGAAGUCAUGCAGUCAAUGUUACGGUCAAAACAAAGGUCUGACGUCAGCUUUGCUCCCGGGGACCCAGAAUAUGAGGAAGUGACCCACAAACCAAAAACCAGACCGGGAAGUGCUCCUUUAACGAAACACGAGAUGAAGAAAGCCCACUCGUCCGUGGGAAAUACGGAUCACUUGCUGGAAAAGGAAGAAAUUCCAGAAUUCCCUGAUAACUUUUUACCGGAAGUCAGUAAAGAGAUUGAUGAACUCAAAAAACAGAUAAUGUCAGAUAUAAAGCUGCCAACAAAAGAGGAAAUGUUGCAAGCGCUGGACAGUGCUAGGUAGUGACCUAAAUUUACAUUUCUGACGUCAUGACAUGACGUAAACAUAUAGGAAUAUACAUGACUAUUAAGUAUUACAUGUGAUAGAGGGUACAUGUAUUUAUUUUUACAAAAUAUCAUUACACAUUUAUUUACUUAAGAGUAUUUUCCAUAUUUUUUUAUUUAUAGAUUAAUUCUAUGUAUAGAAAAUAGCCAUAAUUAGUAUUUAUUUUAAAUAUAAUAGUUAUAUUUCAGUUUAUGUGGAAAGCUGCACCAGCUCGUUAAUUUAAUGUAUUUUACUGUACAAUAGAUGUAUUUCUCUAUGCUGUGAUAAACUUAUACUCUGUUCAAAUGAACAUUUAUUUAUUUAUGUACUUUUAAGUCCUAUUCCUUUAAAAGAAAAUCACUUAUAAAAAUGUUUACUAAUCGGGUAGUUAUAUUAAUGUCUUAUAAAUUAUUUUUUUCUUGCAUGUUUUGCGAGACAAUGAUAUAAUUUAUUACAAUUUAUAUACGAAAAGAAAAUAUUGAUCACGAAGUGCUUCAUUGACUGUACUGAAUAAAAGUAUGAAAU
rnacentral:misc_RNA from 1 species